CCACCCUACUCAUAGCUUCUUCAUGCCCCCCUCCCCACAGCUCCUUCACUCUCAAUCUACGUUGCUCUCCCUACCACCUAUGGCUCCUCUGUCUUUGGUGGCCCAUGGAAAAGAUUUUUUUAAAAAAAACAAAGAUAAAGUUCUAUUUAAUUAUGAAACUUGUCAUCAAUUUAAACAAUUUUAAUCUUUGAAAUAUUUACUGUACC
rnacentral:lncRNA from 1 species